GCCUGGAGAGAUGGAAAAGAGGAUUAGUAAAAGAGGAGGAGGAGGAGAAGGCUAGCCUCAUAACAUCCAGGACGGCUGUGCAUCCCAGGAGUCCAUAAACCACCCUGGGAGAAAACCUACAAGCAGCAUAGGACCAUGGCUGCAUCCUCUCUUCUUAUAGUAACUGACAGUAUUACAAGAAACAUGUGGGGUAUGUGAGGAAGAAGGUGCCAGUUAACAAAUCAGCUCCUUUUUGCAAAAUUUCUUUUUGUCCGGUGAUCUCCCGGGCACCAUUUCUUCUUUCUCUUCCAUCUACCUAGAAGGUGUUUUAGCAACAUUCAUAUGGUGAAGGAGGCUGGAGAAGCGCAGACUUUCCGUUUCAGGAGCUUUUUCUCCUGCCAAACAAAUGUGAUAAAGUCUUGACCUGCCAAAGCAUGAGAUACAAUGCUGGGUGAUCAUAUUGUAGCCACAUCUGUCUGACGUACAACAGGGAAGGUAAACAGCAGCUGCCCCCACCAUCCCUUACUGGGCAUGCGUGAAGAGCAAAACGGAGACAAAAGGGGAGAACAGACGAGAUUCUCUCAUCAGCUCCCCCCAGCAUGCUUUUAAAAGCAUAGAAAAGAUUGGCCACGGAAACCAAUAAGGAAAGUGGAGGCUGGAAAAAGAAAAGGCCAUCCCUUGGAUGCAUUUUGAAAGAAGACUUCAGAAGUCCUGAUUCUCUUCCUAGCCAGCUUGUCAGCCUGGUAUGGGUAAUGGUCGAGCGGCGGAAGGGCAAGUGGAUUUAAAACGGAAAGAUGUGGACGCCGGAUUCCACGGACGUGUGUUGCCAGAGAAAGUCCAGGAGAGGAGGAGCGUGGCCCACUCCUUGAUGUCGGGAGCAUUGGCCGGAGCUGUGGCUAAAACAGCUGUGGCACCGCUGGACAGAACAAAAAUCAUAUUCCAAGUGUCAUCAAACCGGUUUUCUGCUAAGGAGGCCUACCGGCUGAUCUAUCGCACCUACCUCAAUGAGGGCUUCCUCAGCCUCUGGCGCGGAAACUCCGCCACCAUGGUCCGGGUGAUCCCCUACGCUGCCAUCCAGUUCUGUGCCCAUGAGGAAUACAAGCAGCUUCUGGGCAGCUACUAUGGCUUCCAGGGAAAGGCGCUUACCCCGCUCCCCAGGUUCAUUGCAGGCUCACUUGCAGGAACAACUGCCGCCAUGUUGACGUACCCCUUGGAUCUGGUUCGGGCACGGAUGGCAGUGACGCCGAAGGAAAUGUACAGCAACAUUGUUCAUGUCUUCAUCCGGAUUUCCCAGGAGGAGGGCCUGAAGACGCUGUACCGGGGCUUUGCUCCCACCAUCUUGGGGGUGAUCCCUUAUGCCGGGUUGAGUUUUUUCACCUUCGAGACCCUCAAGAAGUUACACGCAGAUCACAGUGGCCGGUCGCAGCCCUACCCGUUGGAGCGUCUUGUUUUCGGGGCCUGCGCAGGCCUGAUCGGACAGUCGGCCUCCUACCCUCUGGAUGUGGUCCGCCGGCGGAUGCAGACAGCCGGCGUGAUGGGCUUUUCGUACGGGUCCAUCCUGGGCACCAUGGCGGAUAUUAUCCGAGAAGAGGGACUUGUCAGGGGCCUGUACAAGGGGCUCAGCAUGAACUGGGUCAAGGGCCCCAUUGCUGUGGGGAUCAGCUUCAUGACCUUCGAUCUCACACAGAUCCUGCUCCGGAAAUGGGAGCGUGGUGUCCACGUGGAAAGGUAGUGGCUGACCUUGCCUCUGUCUUGGGUCCCUUGCGGAUGGGAGAAGGAUGGAGGUGGGUUUUGGCGCAGGCUGGUGCGGACAGGCAUCCCCCUUGAUAACCCCUUCUCAAACGCAGAUAUGGUUCUCAUGGUCGGUCCGAGUGACAUAGGAGAACGGGGGCUGUUGGUGAACACAGGGUCCCUUAAAACUGUGGCGGUCUGCUUUGUUUCCCUGAGAGUGGAUUUGCUAAAAGAUGCUCCUGGGAUGGUCUAGAAAUUGCCAAACCCCUUGAGCCAAGGAAAAAGGGGUGCCUUUGCACCCCAAAAUCCCAUUGGUCUCAAAAAUGGGAAGGUUGUAUCUGUACCUGAUUCUCGGUAACGCCGUAUCUUUUGCAGCAGAGCCUUGCCAAAUGCAUUAACUUGCCUGUACUUCAGCUUCAUCCAGUGUCCCUCUUCUCUUUUGUGCUUUAAACUGGGCUUAACCAAGAGCUUAAGAGGUGGGGGGUGUCUGUUGUGUGCUUUCCUCCUAUCUAUGUUUUAUUUUUAGUUUUGCUUCCUCUGUGGAAGUUUUCCCUCUUUUAGUCUCUCCUUCUUUUUCUCAACCCCCCCCCCCCCUUUAAAAUGUUCCCCAUUGGCAUUCAUGGCACAGAACAAACAUCUGGAAGAGUAUGCCAUCUCCAGGAGGAAAACCAAAGACUGAAUCCUUCCUUUCCAUAGGGUUGCUUAGAGAAGAACAAGGUGAGCACUGAAUCAUGAAUUUCUGUUGCCACAGUUUCAGAUGAUGCACCUGGCUAUGAAACUGGUUCUGAAUCAACAGUGUUAACAUAUAUAUAUAUAUAUAUACACACACACACACACACACAUAUAUAUAUAUAUAUAUUAAAGAGAUCAACUUUUCAAUAAACUUUUUUUUAAAAGCUACAACAUUUGCGCUCUAGGUUGAGAUGGGGGAGUAAAGCUAAUGAUGUUGGACUGCACCUCCUAGCAUCCCUCUCCACUGCCUCUGUUGUCUAGGGCUGAUGUCUGGUGGGCCACAAGUAGCCCAAACUAUAAUAGAGCUUUUGGUACCUCUAGAUGUUUGGGACUUCAGUUUCAGUGUUGCCAGUUGUAAGGCGUGAUGGGAAGUCUAGUCCAGUUUGGAAAUACAGUACUAACCAAUUUCUUUUUCUUCAGUAUUACAAGUUAUUCUAAACCUUUAAAAAUUGUUCUCAUAGAGGCACCACAGAGGUUGACUGGAUCCCUUCUGUCUUUGCAUGAAUGGGUUUACAUUCUUCUUCUGGGGAAUGAAAGGGGCUUACAAGACCCCCCCCCCCCAAGUUCAUUCAAUGCAAGACUUCUAGGCUCUCUGAUACAGUAGGUCAAUAGUGUCCCAUUUGGCUAGACAGAUUCAUGUCACAGUGGAUUGCUGGACCGCAGCUAAGCUUUGCAAGAGGCACAGGCCUGGUCCAGAAAACUGGCCCCCUGAUAUGGUCGAUGUCUUCCUCUUCCUCCCUCUUUUAUCAGGGUCGGGGCAUUUUAUUGCAAACUUCCCUGCCUCCUUUCCUUAGCUGCCACAGCAGGCAACAUAUAGUGCAGUGUUACAGAAUCCUCUAGUUGGAAGGGAACUCAAGGGCCCUCCUGAUGUGCAGGAACCCACGACUUUAACACUCCGGAGAGAUCACCCUGUUCAAAGCUCUCCAAAGGAGGAAAAUCUGCCACUCUCCAAGGUGGUUCUUUGUCAAACAGCAAUGAACUGUCAGGAUGCUUUUUCUAAUACUUAGAAAGCAUCUUUUUUCCCCCUUGCAAUUUAAAUCUACUAGUUGAUCUCCUUAGAAAAGGUGCUAAAUGAUGCUUGGUAAGGUAGAAGGCAUCAGGAAGAAAGGAUAAGCACAUUACAGGUGGACAGACUCCAUCAAGGAAAGCCCUGAAUUUGCAAGACCUGAGCUGAGCUGUUGAUAAGAAGAUGACUUGGAGGUUUCUCAUUCACAAAGUUGCCAUAAGUCUAGUUGACUUAAUGGCCUUUAACAACAAAGUUUGUGUCCUAGCGGAAAACAAGCUGGCUCCAUCUUCAUGACAUCCCUUUUAAAGAUGGCUGUCAUGCCACCUUCUCCAACAUAACCAGCUCCCUAGGUCAUUCCUCCUAAGUCUUGAUUUCCUGAUCUUUGGGCACCUUGGUUGCCCUCAUCUGUUUGUCUUAUAUGGCUGCCUUUUCCUGGCAAAACAGAGGAUGAUGGUUGGAUGGAAAAAUGCCUUGCUCAGCAUGCACCCACCUCCCAUAAUGCCAAUCUCAUACCCUGUCGCACCGUGGGCAUAAUUUUAUUCAUAAGGAAACUGCUUCACAUUUGGUCCACCAAACAUUUGGUCCACUAGGAUCCAGUACAAGGAGAAAGGCAGGAUGUAAAUUAAAUAACUAAAGAGAAACAUGUGGCCCUGGGCAACCGGUACACCAAAUCUUUGACUCCAGCACCUCUAUUUUUUCUACUAUGCAACUCCUUCAUAAAUGGCAAAGGUAUAUUAAUUUGUAAUAACAAAGUUGAGGUUGCAAAAUGGUAGCAACAAGGCAUUUCAUCCCCACUCCCUCCUGAGUGCAACAACAAAAAGAAUAGAAUAAUAGAAUCUUAGAGUUGGAAAGAGACACAAAUAAAUAAAAUAGUCCAACCAUCUGCCCUGCAAGGAGUUGACAACUACAGCACUACUGAGAGAUGGACAUCUAACAUUUGUUUAAAAACCAUCCAUGAAGAAGAAUCUAAUACUUUGGAGGCAUUCAAUUCCACUUUUAAACAGCUCUUACCAUCAGGAAAUUCUUCCUAAUGUUUGGGUGAAAUCUCCUUUCUUGGAAUUUGAAUCCAUUGGUUCAUCUUCUAGUUUCGGGAGCAGCAGGAAACAAAUUCUCUCCAUCUUUUUCAGGCCAUCCCUUCUUGUAUUUAAAGAUGGCUAUUGGAUCAUAGUGGAAUGCUUUGAGAUAAGUGAUACCUUGACUUAAACGUCAUGUAAGGAUGGGUACAUCAUCUCUCUUCAUCUUCUUCAAGCUAAACACCCCCAUCUUCCCCAACUGAGUUGCCAGAUUUAAAACUGCAGAAGCUCCUGUAUCUAAGGGUUGUGUAGAAGCAGGAAUUUCUGCAGGUAUUGACUGUCACGCAAUCUUAGAGUUGGAAGUGACCAGUGGGGUCCCACAGGGCUCUGUCCUGGGCCCAGUGCUGUUCAACAUCUUUAUCAAUGACUUGGGUGACAGAAUUGGGAGCAUACUUAUCAAAUUUGCAGAUGA